AGUGGCGGACGGGUGAGUAACACGUAAGAAUUUGCCUUUAGGAGGGGGACAACAACUGGAAACGGUUGCUAAUACCCCAUAUGCUUUCGAGUGAAAUGGAUUUCCGCCUAAAGAGAAGCUUGCGGCUGAUUAGCUUGUUGGUGAGGUAAUGGCUCACCAAGGCGACGAUCAGUAUCUGGUUUGAGAGGACGAUCAGACACACUGGAACUGAGACACGGUCCAGACUCCUACGGGAGGCAGCAGUGGGGAAUUAUCCGCAAUGGGCGAAAGCCUGACGGAGCAAUACCGCGUGAGGGAUGAAGGCCUAUGGGUUGUAAACCUCUUUUUUCAGGGAGGAACAAAAUGACGUGUACCUGAAGAAUAAGCAUCGGCUAACUCCGUGCCAGCAGCCGCGGUAAGACGGGGGAUGCAAGUGUUAUCCGGAAUCACUGGGCGUAAAGCGUCUGUAGGUGGUUAAGUAAGUCAACUGUUAAAUCUUGAGGCUUAACCUCAAAAUCGCAGUCGAAACUGCUUGACUAGAGUAUAGUAGGGGUAAAGGGAAUUUCCAGUGGAGCGGUGAAAUGCGUAGAUAUUGGAAAGAACACCGAUGGCGAAGGCACUUUACUGGGCUAUUACUAACACUGAGAGACGAAAGCUAGGGUAGCAAAUGGGAUUAGAUACCCCAGUAGUCCUAGCUGUAAACAAUGGAUACUAGAUGUUG
rnacentral:rRNA from 1 species